rnacentral:rRNA from 1 species
UACGAAGGGGGCUAGCGUUGCUCGGAAUUACUGGGCGUAAAGCGCACGUAGGCGGCUCUUUAAGUCGGGGGUGAAAUCCUGGAGUUCAACUCCAGAACUGCCUUCGAUACUGUAGAGCUUGAGUUCGGGAGAGGUGAGUGGAACUGCGAGUGUAGAGGUGAAAUUCGUAGAUAUUCGCAAGAACACCAGUGGCGAAGGCGGCUCACUGGCCCGAUACUGACGCUGAGGAGCGAAAGCGUGGGGAGCGAACAGG